CUCUAGUUACGCUGAUCCUGAGUUGCACCUCCACCCGAGCUCUUAAUAACGUGUUUAAACUGUUUGGGUACUCAGAUUGUGGACAGUAUAUGUAGUGUAUAUCAGACACAGAUGAUGUUUCAGUGAUGAGCUCCAGGCAGCAGCAUAUUCCAAUCCACCACCUGGAAUUCCCUGUCAGCAGCGACCAAUCACGGCCCAGUCCCGGUCAGCAUCACCGCUGACGUUCAACAGUGUCUGACCGGGACCCUCCGUGAUGUCACCGUGUCACCUCUUGCAGUUGUGAAGUCCACUAUCUUCCUCCAUCAUCUAUGUCCAUAAAGGCUGCUGAGCCUGGUUACGUCGCCCGCUUGCCCAGCUCCGGUUCUGGCACGACACUCUCUCUACUCCAUGUCUGCAUUCCCUGAAAAAUACCUUCAGUUACAGAGUUUCAGAGUGGACGA